rnacentral:rRNA from 1 species
AACGGCUCACCUAAGGCGACGAUCCCUAGCUGGUCUGAGAGGAUGACCAGCCACACUGGAACUGAGACACGGUCCAGACUCCUACGGGAGGCAGCAUG